GGUCAUGGAGAAGCGUUUAUGCAGGUGAAUAUUUGGAGAACCACCAGCUCCAGUGGCUGCAUGCUCACCAUUAACAUUAAGCAGUUGCUGCUGUAGAUGAGGAGAAAGCUGCCCUGGAUCCUGCUUUGCUGACAGCUGCUGCGUUAAGUCUCCAGCAUGCUGUUUCACGGUCUGCAGGUCAAUGGAUGCUGUCCCAGCAAGCUCACCUAUUCUCUCAGGAACCAUAAUGCUGAGUAAUAUUGCAUGAAGAGAUGGUGGUACAUGCAUGUGAUGGAGCAGCCAGAGCCUGGAUCCGAAUUUAUCCCUGCAGGAGGAAGCCCUUUCUCAGGGCGAGUCCCCCCAGGGCUUGACAUAAGGACGGUGUGGAAGAUGUGACAGCAUGGCUGGUGUCUGCAAGGCCUCAUGACUUUAAAAGGAUUUGUGACAAGCCAUGAGCCUUGAGAAAAUAAACCAUGAUGAAUUCCCAUCCAUACAGACAGUUCUGAAGGUAUGUGUCCCCUCCUCCCUGCUCCCUGGAAAACCACAGUCUUGGCCAGAACUGGAAGAGGAGCCAUUCAUUCAAGCCCGAUUUCCCAAAUUGUAUUGCAGAACAUGGACUCAAUCACUCUUAAAUGAGCUCCGUGGGGAUUCCGCAUCCCCUCGUGUGCCAGGUUAGCUCUGCAGAGUGUGCGGGGCUGGCUGACGUGCUCGGCACAUGUGAUGGAGGGACAGCAUAGCGGGGCUAGCACGUAGCUGGGGAGUGGCUGGGA